rnacentral:lncRNA from 1 species
CUUGGCGGCCGUGCUCUGCAGGCAGUGCCUCCCUCGGGCGUGGGUCUGCAGGAGAGCCGGACAGGGCAGCGGCCGGCACUACCGCGCUGCGAUUUGCGCAGAGCUGAAGAAGCCCCUGACCAUUGAAGAGGUGGCCCCCGCCCCGUCGGGCCUCACGAGGUCAGAGUUGAUGUCCAUUUCUGUGGAGUUAACUUUGGUGAUAUUUUGAUCUGCCGUGAUCAAUAUCAGGAAAGGCCCCAUCUUCCCUUCACACCUGGUAAUAUAGCUGCUGCUGGAAGUGACGAGAAGUGCAAGCUGGCGAUGCAGAGGGGUGCGCAGUCCAGCGUGAACUACAGUCAGGGCAGCCUGAAGGAUGCACCUGGCAUGGGAGGGCAGGAUUGUGGUGGUGGGAUUUGCUGGAGGAAACAUUGCUUCUGAACCAGCCAACCUUCUGCUCCUGAAGAAUAUCUCUGCUAUGGGCCUGUACUGUGGUCAAUACAAAGAUAUGAACUUUCCCGUCUUCUCCAAGAGCCUAUCUUCAGUGCUUCAGUACUGCCAGCAAGGGUGCAUCCAGCUAUAUGUCAGAAUGGUUUUCAAGCUGGACGAGGUGAGACACACUUAAGGGAUGUGAUGCAG